CGAAUAAGGAUAUUGUUGGUGUCCUUAACUCAAGAAAUUUAGUUUUCAAGUAUUUAUUCAUUAAAUUUGAAAACCCGGCGUGAUGAAUCAUAGAAUGUUUAGUGCACUCACUAAGAAGUAAGAUUAGCUUCACGAGACCUAUUAAGAAUAGAAUUUCUUGUAGGCUUUGUGACCAGGGGGAUUAGCGCUGCUUUCCCAAGACAGGUUUUUAUGUGUAUGAUCUUCAGGCUUUGCCUAUCCAGGUUGGCUGGCCGGUGCUGACGGGACGGAGCUGAGGCUAGAGAUAAAUUCCUAUGUUAGACUUCCGCUGUAGCAAUUACUCAUAUCAGUCUUUUAUUUUUUUUAACUUAAGAUCUUCAUGUUAAAUUUCAAAUGAUAUACCUGACCGAGCUUAGACUCUUCACUACUAAAUUUAUGCCAAUGAAUGUCGGUUGUCAGAAGCAUGAAACAAAACUUGUGAUCCAAAGGGGCAUAGCCCGACUCUCUAUCUUAUUAUUCGGGUUUUAACAAGGUUGUUCCUUGUUUAUUUC